rnacentral:lncRNA from 1 species
UAGUGGCAAGUUUGAUAGUGGACUGAAGUGUUUGCUGCGUAAUCAUCAUCCAAGUACGAUCGUCGCAUUUCAAGCUUUUUUAUGGAUGAUUCUGGAAAAAAGGAAACAAAUUUAUGUUCUGUUUCAUUCCUCUCAGACUUUUUGUGUUAAAAGCUGUUUUCUAAAACAAUUUUACACUAAAGAUCAAUCAGUUUCUCAUAUGAAAUAAAUUAAGUACUGAUUUUU